rnacentral:lncRNA from 1 species
GCCUGAUUCCUCAAUAUAAUGAAGAACAAGUAAGAUUUAAAAAGACAUUGUAGGAAUAGCAAAAGAAUUAGCAGCUGAGAAUCUGCACUGUGCAAAGGAAGACACUAGAAAAGAUACAAGGACAGUUGAACACAGAGGGUAUAAGGAGAAGAAGUUUAAGGCAGAAAAUAUUAAAGAGUUAAAGUGUCAGCAGCUGAAUAAAUGAGAAAGCCUAUUUAAUUACUGAAACUACAUCUUAUAAGUACCACUUAUAAGUAAGAUUAUGUUAUAUUUUGGGUUUACAUAUUUUAUUAUUUCAAUAUCUCUCCCAAGAAAAUGCUAAUAAUCUCAACACUCUUUGGAAAAUGUUUUCACAAGAAGAGGAUAUCAAAGGAGCAAAGGCCACACAGUCUUAGCGCACUGCAACUGUUGGACUAGGAUUAACAAGAAAAAGAAAAAGAGAAAAAGAAAAAGAAAAAGAAAAAAAAGAAAAAGAAAAAGAAAAAGAAAAAGAAAAAGAAAAAGAAAAAGAAAAAGAAAAAGAAAAAGAAAAAGAAAAAGAAAAAGAAAAAGAAAAAGAAAAAGAAAAAGGAAAAGAAAAAGGAAAAGAAAAAGAGAAGCCAAGAGGGAUAAUUUGUUUCUCCAGGGCAAAUGA